rnacentral:rRNA from 1 species
AACCCUAAAAGCUAGCCCACCUUUAAACCCCAACAACCCAUUUUAAUAACCCCAAAAGCACUAAAGUUAAUAAAAA